CCACGUCCGCGCAGUCGAUGUUCCCAGGCGCAGUCGUGAACUCGGAAAAAGCGCAAAAAAAAAGAAGCACCGGGCGAGUGCCUCUUCUUACAUUUCGAUCUGUCCUGUGACUUGAACGGGCGCUGUCGUGCUCGCUCUGUGGCGCGCACACGCACCGAGGGCGGGAGAAAUACUUUUUCUCUCUGUCCCUCCUUCAGUCACCUUGCAUGCGCCUGGUUACUCCGUUGUACCGUUGCUGCUCAUUGGUGCGUCGCCCCGUGCCUCAGGUCGACCCUCUCUACGUGAGGGCGUAGUCUCCUGCUGCAGUGUCCGACGGCCAUCUUCAUCUUUUGUGUGGGGGAAGGGGGUUGUACGCCUGACUUCCGGUACUAUAGCGAGGGUGCUGUACCCUUUUUCGACUCUUGUAGGUGGCAUCUUUAUCAUCCCUUUCAAUCUGAUCGUCGUUGCCGUGGGCGUCUUGUUCUCCUUUUUCGUGCACAGCUUCGCUACACAGGCCAAGUGAACAGUUGUACGAAAGGCGGAAUCAGAGAAGCGAGGAAGCCACCACGACGUUCACAGAGCAUACCUGACAGCGAGUGCAUGCCUCUCUCGCACUAUCGAGCGAAGAGUUUUGUCGCAUCGACUCCUCUUGGAUCUUCUCUCGUUUUGUGUGUACACCGUACGGCGUCUUGUCCAUCUGCGCCGCAGCUCCGUUCCGCCCCCCACCCCCUUGGCCUCGUGCACUUCGCACUCAGCGCUUAUCUUUUUUUUUUCCUCUUCCUUUUCUAGCGUGAACGAGCAGUACUCUCGCCUUGGACGGAUCGGGAGCGAUCGUUUUUCACUUUGACCCUCGCCUGGUUCCCGUCGUCGAUCUUCCUAUUCGUGUGCUCGUCGGUCCCACUCCCUGUCUCUCUGUGUCUGUGUGUUUGUGUUGAUCCGGCUGUGCGUGCGCUUGUUGUGGUGGUUCUUGCGUGUGUGGCGGUGCGCCGCUGUUUUGGUUGUCCUCUCCGUCUGUAUCUGCUUUUUUCUCGCUGUUCUUCACGUGUCUGUUUUCUUGUUCUUUCCGGGAUGUGUGUGUGCGUGUAGGGGGAGGGAGCUCUUUUGUGUUCAGCAUGUCUCUUCUGAGAGGAUCUGUGUCCAUUAAUCGCACCCUUGUCACGAUCGUCCUGCUCUUGACACUCCCACUGCUCUUGGACCUAACGCGGUUGCCGGACAGCUCAGCAGCUCAGGAGUAUGUCUUCUCCCUUCUGACCCCCUGCGAUGGGGUCGGGCUCUGCAACCUCUGUGGGGAGGUGCUGGAGAUGGUAGACCUCGUGCAGCGUGCACUCGCGAACCCGUUUCAAGAUAAGUUGACGCUCUCGCCGGAGGACUGGGAUGCGCAUGGGCUUCAGUCAUAUCAGCGAUGUCUGCAGGAGCCGUUCCUGCGCGGCUGCGAUACGCUUCUUCACAAAAUCAGGAUGCAGAGAAUCGAUUUUGCGAAGGGAAUUCUGGAGCAGGUGGUCGAGGAUGUGCAGUUUCGGCAGAAGUGGGGCUCUUUAGGCGAGGACUACGUCAUCGACAACGCCGUGCAGCUCACCACGUACAUCUUCGACUCACAGGAGCGCUCGCUCGGCGGGAGGCGCGAUCCACGCAAGGAGGACGGCGCCGCCCGAAAUAUUGUUUACCAGCCAUCCACACUUAGCCUCGGCGGCGACCCCGAGGUCGAAAGCCUGGUUACGCGCGUGUGGUUUCUGCGGCGCGAUGUUCUGCUUCUCCAUCAGGACUUCUGCUACCCCGUCUGUGAGGGUAGGCUGACCGUCUUUGGGCGGGUGCAAGUGGCGCUUCUGCGCUUCUACGUGCGACACGCCAUCAAACCUCGUCUUCUUCUUCUGCGGCAGCAGCAUCGCGGUACACUAGUGGUGGCGGAGCUCAUGAUGAUCGGCUUAGCCUUCUGCGUUGAGAGAGUGAUGCGUCCUGGUCUGACGUGCAGCGGCACCGUGGCGCGCCGUAGCGGGCGCGUGCAUGGAGGUACAGCAUCCUCGACGUCCACUGGCAGCGGCUUGGUGAGUGGGGUCCAUGGGGAAGAUAGCGCGGCGGCGGCAACCAGCGGCGGCGGUAGCGGUGAUGGCGGUGGCGGUGGUAAACUUCACUGUCGACCAGGUCGACGACGGCGCUGGGUUGUGGUGGUGUAAACUCCAGAAGAAAGAUGCGAUAUUCUGAGAGUAGGGGUGGGCGAGUGGGAUGCAGUGUCCACUGCUAACAGCUCUGUUUGGGAAAGGGGUUCUCCCGUCGUGGCGCACGCGCGCGCGUAUUUUGUGAGGGUGGUUCUUUUUUUCAGCAGAUGGCUGAAGUUGAGACGGGCGGCUGCUUCAUAUUCUGUGCACGGGGCAUCGCUUCCUUUUUCCUCUGGUUGGCGGGCACGCAUCGGUAGGCUUUGCUGCGACGCUAUAGCGUUGUCGGCCGCAAUUUGGUCAGUUGUUGUUCUCGUGGCUGCGGUGCUUCUUGCUGUCCAGGGUGACUGCCCAUCAGCAGCCCCGAAGCGAGAUAAAGGGGUGCUGAUUUGGCAGUCGUACACGAAUCGUUGAAUCCUUUUCGUGUGAGACUCUGCGUCGGCAAGCUGUCUCUUUUCCGUUCCUCGUUGCUAUCUGCUUCAAGCCUCGCUCACCCCAGUCGCUCAGUCUACUUUCUCUCCUGCACCCUGUCGUCUCUCUUGACGCCCUCCAUCUCUCCAG
rnacentral:misc_RNA from 1 species